GUUCUCAUUAAUCCUCCUUCAACACAAACAUGUUUGCUUCAGCUCCACUGCUGCUGCUGGCUCUCGCCCCCUAUGUGUUCUGUGCUACUGAGCUCAUCCAGCCAGACUCAUUGGUUAUAAAGCCAGGAGAGACUUUAACCAUCACCUGUAGAGUGUCUGGAGCUUCUAUCACUGAUAGCAGCAGCCACUUUGGAACAGCUUGGAUUCGACAACCUGCAGGAAAAUCUCUGGAAUGGAUCAACACCAUUGAUUAUGAUGGGGAUAUUUAUGAGAAAGAUUCACUCAAAGACAAGUUUGUUGUCUCUCGAGACAUUUCCAGUAACACUCUGACCUUACGGGGACAGAACAUGCAGACUGAAGACACAGCUGUGUAUUACUGCGCUCGUGAUCCACACUGACACGACAAGCUGCAGCGCUGCACAAAAACAUCAUAUUCAUAACAAUUUAGUUCUAUAUUUAAAUAAUACUAGCUACAUUUAACUG